GGCAGGAGAGACAGCAAGGAUGGUAUAAAAAAUGGAUACAUUUAUUGCAAAUAAAAAUUAUAAAAACAACAUACAUUAUAUUGCUUUUGCACUUUUUUAUACAACUUGUUUAGUUGUUUUUAUAAUUUUUAUUUGCAAUAAAUGUAUCCAUUUUUUAUACCAUCCUUGCUGUCUCUCCUGCC